rnacentral:rRNA from 1 species
CAGCCGCCACGGGAAUACGAGGGGGGCAAGCGUUGUUCGGAAUUAUUGGGCGUAAGGGUGCGUAGGCGGUUUGACAAGUCUUAUGUGAAAUCCCUGGGCUCAACCCAGAGUCUGCAUGGGAAACUGUCGAGCUUGAGUAUGGGAGAGGUGAGUGGAAUUUCCGGUGUAGCGGUGAAAUGCGUUGAGAUCGGAAAGAACACCAACGGCGAAAGCACUCUGCUGGGCCGACACUGACACUGAGAGACGAAAGCUAGGGGAGCAAAUGGGAUUAGAUACCCCUGUAGUCCCUGUCUCUUUACAC